CACUCCUGCGGGAGGCAGCAGUGAGGAAUAUUGGACAAUGGGUGGAAGCCUGAUCCAGCCAUCCCGCGUGCAGGAAGACGGCCCUAUGGGUUGUAAACUGCUUUUAUCUGGGGAUAAACCUACUUAUGUGUAAGUAGCUGAAGGUACCAGAAGAAUAAGCACCGGCUAACUCCGUGCCAGCAGCCGCGGUAAUACGGAGGGUGCAAGCGUUAUCCGGAUUUAUUGGGUUUAAAGGGUCCGUAGGCGGACUGAUAAGUCAGUGGUGAAAUCCGACAGCUUAACUGUCGAACUGCCAUUGAUACUGUUAGUCUUGAGUAAGGUUGAAGUGGCUGGAAUAAGUAGUGUAGCGGUGAAAUGCAUAGAUAUUACUUAGAACACCAAUUGCGAAGGCAGGUCACUAAGUCUUAACUGACGCUGAUGGACGAAAGCGUGGGGAGCGAACAGGAUUAGAAACCCUAGUAGUCCCAUG
rnacentral:rRNA from 1 species